rnacentral:rRNA from 1 species
UGAGUACGAGACGCUAAGGCGUCGAAGUAGUGUAUGUCAUACUUCCAAGAAAAGCUUGCACUAUCAUAGAUAAAAAACGCCUGUACCAUAACCGACACAGGUGGGUAGGUAGAGUAUACUAAGGGGCGCGAGAUAACUCUCUCUAAGGAACUCGGCAAAAUAACUCCGUAACUUCGGGAGAAGGAGUGCCUUAUUAUUAAGGUUGCAAUAACAAGAUCCAAGCAACUGUUUAUCAAAAACACAGGUCUCCGCUAAGUCGUAAGACGAUGUAUGGGGGCUGACGCCUGCCCAGUGCCAGAAGGUUAAAGAAGUUGGUUAGCAAUUGCGAAGCUGAUAACUGAAGCCCUGGUGAACGGCGGCCGUAACAAUAACGGUCCUAAGGUAGCGAAACUCCUUGUCGGGUAAGUUCCGACCCGCACGAAAGGCGUAAUGAUUUGGAUACUGUCUCGGAGAGGGGCUCGGUGAAAUAGACUUGUCUGUGAAGAUGCGGACUACCUGCACCAGGACAGAGAGACCCUAUGAAGCUUUACUGUAACUUGAAAUUGAAAUUGGACUUUAUUCGCGCAGUAUAGGUGGGAGGCGUUGAUUAUAAUCUUGCGGGAUUAUUGGAGCCAUCAGUGAGAUACCACUCUUGUAAUGUUAGAUUUCUAACUUUGAAUCAUUAUCUGGUCAAAGAACAGUUUCAGGCGGGCAGUUUGACUGGGGCGGUCGCCUCCUAAACGGUAACGGAGGCGUACAAAGGUUUCCUCUGAACGGUUAGAAAUCGUAUCUAGAGUGUAAAGGCAUAAGGAAGCUUGACUGUGAGACCUACAAGUCGAGCAGGGACGAAAGUCGGUCUUAGUGAUCUGACGGUACUGAGUGGAAAGGCCGUCACUCAACGGAUAAAAGUUACUCUAAGGAUAACAGGCUGAUCUCCCCCAAGAGUUCACAUCGACGGGGAGGUUUGGCACCUCGAUGUCGGCUCAUCGCAUCCUGGGGCGGUAGUACGUCCCAAGGGUUGGGCUGUUCGCCCAUGAAAGCGGUACGCGAGCUGGGUUCAGAACGUCGUGAGACAGUUCGGUCCAUAUCCGGUGUAGGCGUUAGAAUAUUGAGAGGAGCCUUCUUUAGUACGAGAGGACCGAGAAGGACAUACCUCUGGUGUACCAGUUAUCGUGCCAACGGUAAACGCUGGGUAGCUAUGUAUGGAGUGGAUAACCGCUGAAAGCAUCUAAGUGGGAAGCCCACCUCAAGAUAAGUAUUCUCAC